UACGGAGGGGGCUAGCGUUGUUCGGAAUUACUGGGCGUAAAGCGCACGUAGGCGGCUUUGUAAGUUAGAGGUGAAAGCCCGGGGCUCGACUCCGGAAUUGCCUUUAAGACUGCAUCGCUAGAAUUGUGGAGAGGUAAGUGGAAUUCCGAGUGUAGAGGUGAAAUUCGUAGAUAUUCGGAAGAACACCAGUGGCGAAGGCGACUUACUGGACACAUAUUGACGCUGAGGUGCGGAAGCGUGGGGAGCAAACAGG
rnacentral:rRNA from 1 species